UACGUAGGGGGCAAGCGUUGUCCGGAUUUAUUGGGCGUAAAGAGCUCGUAGGCGGUUUGGUAAGUCGGAUGUGAAAUCUCCACGCUCAACGUGGAGGCGCCAUCCGGUACUGCCAUGACUAGAGUCCGGUAGGGGAGUGUGGAAUUCCCGGUGUAGCGGUGAAAUGCGCAGAGAUCGGGAGGAACACCCGUAGCGAAGGCGGCACUCUGGGCCGGUACUGACGCUGAGGAGCGAAAGCGUGGGGAGCGAACAGG
rnacentral:rRNA from 1 species